rnacentral:piRNA from 1 species
UUAAUAUUUUGAUUACUAAUU